UUUGUUGGUGAUUGAAUUUGACAAACAAUUGUGGAAUAUUAAUCAAAGUCAGUUGCAAUAGUUUUCAACUUACACAUCUCCACAUCCAUGACUUCCUGUGUCGUCGUUGCCAUGACGCUCAGCAUUUUCGGUAGGCGCUCACAAGUUGCAGUUGGACGUGGUCAACAGGGGGAGAAGCAUUAUAUCAAUUGCUGGUCGAACCAAACGCUGACCGGUGCAGUUUAUGGCACCAAGGCAGCCAAGGCUAAAAUUAGUUUGGCAA